AGUAUUAAAGAGAGUGUUUAAAAGAUAAUGUUGCUAAAUUCCUCAUAGAAUUGUAGAUGAGAAAUAUUUACAAAGUGGAAUAGAAUUGUGGAAUAUAUUCAUACUCUCAAGGAGAAAGUUAGAAACCAUUUUGGUGAUUUAUUCUCAACCAUUUAUUCUCUAAAAACUUAAAGGUCAACUACAAUUAACUCACAGUGUUUAUCUAGCAAUUACCCAAUUUUGUCCACAAGCAGUCAUAUCCGUGGUGAGCUUUUGAAUUCCAUAAGAUUCCAAGACAAUGAAAAUGUUAUAUAUAAAUGCAUACCAUGCUCAUUAAUUUUUCAAAACAAACCAAGUAGCUAUAGGACAUUAACUUCAUUUUGUUCCCGUGUGUUAAUUCCAAACAACGAAAGGCUAAAUUAGAUUAAAAAACGGUUAUAAUAUGAGGUAAAUGGUAGGGUACAUAGCAAACGUCCAAAGCACAGCCUUUUGGAGUUAUUGGUGUAUGGUAGGUUCCAACCCGUUCACUUCACUGUGUUGGAGUUUAUUAAAAGGACGAAAUUAGACCAUGCAUAUAUGUUAUCACACAUAAAAAAUGAACAUUCAACUUUAACCUGCCUACUCAAAAAUCACAAAUUUAGGUUUCUUGUACAGGCAUGAAUUCCAUAUAGAAAGAUAAACUUCCCCAUGGUCAUAUUUGUAGUGUUGAGUUUAGAGUUGAGUUUAAUUUUUCUGAAAGACUGAUAUAAAACGUUAGUCUACAUUUAAGACCUAUAUUAUACUAUUAGCAUAUUUAAACAAAUAAAAUCGCAUAUGUUUAAGUAGACUAGCAAAUGUGUAACCAAAAAAAAAAGUAGACUAGCUAAUGAGCUAAUAGACAAAUGAUCAUUAAACUAAAUUUUGAUAUUUAACACGACAUUAAUUUUAGAAAAUCCAACUAUAUAUAAUAUCAUAUAUCAAUUCUUAUUUAUCAUAAUACAUUUAAAUAUACAAAGAGAAAUACAAUAAUAUAGACUAAGAAGAUUAAAUUAUUAAAAGGGUUAGUUAAAUUUUAAUUUAAUGUAAAGUACAAAAUCUAACAUAAUAUAGAUUUAAAAAAAUUUAGUCCUUGCAAUUAUAUUUUUUUAGUUUCAGUCCCAAUAAAAAAAUUGUUUAGAUUCAAUCCAUGCAAAUUUUAAUAUUGUUGUUGAUCUUAGUCGGGAAAUACUUGGGUGCCAUAGUUUUUUGGUGUCAUUGGUGACAUAGGUUCAUUUUAGAUGAGAGAGAAUGAUGAAUGAAUAAUUAAAAUAAAUUAUUUUGAUGAGAGAGAAUAUGUUGGUAAGAGAGAGAUAGACACAAAAAUAUCAAUGACACCAAAAGGCAAUGGCACCAAAUUGCUACCCGUCUUAAUCUCUCACAUCAUACAUGACCCAAUAGAAUCACGUCACAUAGGCUAAUUAAAUAACCUAACUCACACACACACACUAGUGGACUUAUUUGUAUAUCUCGAAAUUCUAAACAUCAUUUUUCUAAAAAUUGGGGUAGAUGGAAUUUUUAAUAAUUAAAGACGACAUUAAUGAUCAUUUUACUCCUUAAAAAAUUAAUGAUCAUUUCACAAUUGUUAUCAUGGGGUUUGGCCAGGGUGCGUUUAAUUUGCUAAACAAUACUCCCUCCCGUCACUAUUAUAAGCAAAACUUUACUUUUUAGAUAUAUUGAAUAAUUAAUGUAUCUAGUUUUUAUUAUAGUAUGGAUACAUUAAUUAUUCAAUGUAUCUAAAAAGUGAAAUUUUGCUUAUAAUAGUGACCGAAAUGAGUAUACACAAGACAAAACAACACAACACAAGGCAGAACUGCACAUGACAAACUUUUAUGGUAUUGAAUAAUUUUUGGUGGACAAAAAUUUAUUUUUGUAUUUUAGAUAACUCAUACGUGAGACAAAAAAUUGUGUUGAGGUUUAGUGAGGGACAAAAAUUUCUGUUUUUGUCAUGUCCCUUGACUCCAGUUUGUGAUCCCUUCCCAAAAACAGUUUUAUAAACCAGAUACUAUACAACUGGAGUUAUCUUAUCAUGUCCUUCGUUUUUUAGCAGAUCAAACGCAUCCUUAAAGAUAAAAAGGCUAAACUUUUUUUUUCUUUCAAGAAAGGCUAAACUUUUACACAUUAUCACAUACUGUUACAAACAUCAUUUGAUUUUAAAUAAAAAGUACAAUGCCAAAACUACCAAAUAUUUAAAAUGAAAAGAAUGUUAUUAAUAUGUGUAAUUUAGUCAAUUUCAAUAAUGAAGAAUUCAUUUUUUGUUGAGAAAAAUAAUUUAGAUUGAGGGGAUGAUGCCCCAAUAUAAGACAGAAAAAAUCUUUAAGUUAAAAGAGCACUUACAAGUGUAUUUAUGUUUACCUCUUCUAAGAGAGUGCCUUCAACAUCCAUAUUUUUUUGAAUUUGAAUCCUCUCAAUUGUGAAAAAAAAAAACUUGAGAGAGUUACUGCAUGAUCACAUCUAUGCAUUUUAAUAGUAAAAUUAUCCAGAUAACUGUCACCAUUGUGAGGAUUCAAAUCCAUAUAUUUUGUUCAAUCUAUGAACAACUUUAACUAAUUUUAUUAUAUUUAAUGCUAUUAUAAAUACUCUUCAUUGAUUUAAAAUUUUAUUCUCUGAUGCAUUUUAGAAAUAAAUAUUUUUU
rnacentral:lncRNA from 1 species